rnacentral:rRNA from 1 species
UAAAUCGUUUAACGAGUAUCAAUUGGAGGGCAAGUCUGGUGCCAGCAGCCGCGGUAAUUCCAGCUCCAAUAGCGUAUAUUAAAGUUGCUGCAGUUAAAAAGCUCGUAGUUGGAUCUGGGGCUUGAGGUCGCUGUCUAUCGUUUCGGCGAUGACGGUGAUGCUCAGCUCUGCUUGCCGGAGACUGUUGCGGUGUUCUUCACUGAGCGCUGUAGCAGCACGGCACGUUUACUUUGAAAAAAUUAGAGUGCUCAAAGCGUGCUUGUCGCUUGAAUAAUGUUGCAUGGAAUAAUGGAAUAGGACCUCGGUUCUAUUUUGUUGGUUUUCGGAGCUUGAGGUAAUGAUUAAGAGGGACGAACGGGGGCAUUCGUAUUGCGGUGUUAGAGGUGAAAUUCUUGGAUCGCCGCAAGACGGACUACUGCGAAAGCAUUUGCCAAGAACGCUUUCAUUAAUUAAGAACGAAAGUCAGAGGUUCGAAGACGAUCAGACACCGUCCUAGUUCUGACCAUAAACGAUGCCGACCAGCGAUCCGUAGUGGUUGCUUUAUGGACCCUACGGGCAGCCUCCGGGAAACCAAAGUAUUUGGGUUCCGGGGGAAGUAUGGUUGCAAAGCUGAAACUUAAAGGAAUUGACGGAAGGGCACACCAGGAGUGGAGCCUGCGGCUUAAUUUGACCCAACACGGGAAAACUCACCCGGUCCGGACACCGUAAGGAUUGACAGACUGAUAGCUCUUUCUUGAUUCGGUGGAUGGCGGUGCAUGGCCGUUCUUAGUUGGUGGAGUGAUUUGUCUGGUUAAUUCCGAUAACGAACGAGACUCUAGCCUGCUAAGUAGUGUUGCUAUUGUUAUAUGGUUGACACUUCUUAGAGGGACAAGUGGCAUUUAGCCACGCGAAAUUGAGCAAUAACAGGUCUGUGAUGCCCUUAGAUGUCCGGGGCCGCACGCGCGCUACACUGGAGAAGUCAGCGUGUGUUAUCCAAGUCCGAAAGGACUGGGUAACCCGUUGAACCUUCUUCGUGCUUGGGACUGUGGCUUGGAACUAUUCCACAUGAACGAGGAAUUCCUAGUAAUUGCAAGUCAUAAGCUUGCGUUGAUUACGUCCCUGCCCUUUGUACACACCGCCCGUCGCUACUACCGAUUGAAUGGUUUAGCAAGGUCCUCGGAUCGUGGCCGUAGGGGCACGCAAGUGUUUCUGCGGUUUGCGAGAAGACGACCAAACUUGAUCAUUUAGA